rnacentral:rRNA from 1 species
GUCUACGGCCAUACCACCCUGAACGCCCCCGAUCUCGUCUGAUCUCGGAAGCUAAGCAGGGUCGGGCCUGGUUAGUACUUGGAUGGGAGACCUCCUGGGAAUACCGGGUGCUGUAGGCU